GGCUGGGGGAGGGGGAGCAGGUGCAAGAAAGGAUGGCUUAGGAGAAGCACUGGGCCCCCGAAGGGCCUUUGCUCUUAGAGGAAAGUUCACCAGGGAGGCGGUGUGGCUGGCCCAUCAGCGAGUGAUUGCUCCUCAGUGCUGGCGCGAUGGAACCUCACGCAAUCCGUGCUCCGCCCAGUUUCUGCCGCUUUAACUGACGGUAACACCGCAGCCAUGGAAACGAAGCCCGGCCACCAGACGGGCGCAGGCCCAGCUCCCCCACCAGCCUUGCUGUCACCUGCCUGGCCUCUCGAGGUUUGGGAGCUCUCAACACUUGUGCCGGCUGUGGGUGGAGGCCAGGUCCCAGGGCGGCUUCCCUUUCGCCCCACUUCUCUGGGUUCCAGCAAGAGAUGCUGCCUCCCUACCACCCCGAUGGUCUCCGAAGCUGCUCUCACAGCAAAUAUGUGGGGUCCCCAUUCAGACCCCUCCGCCAAACCCCGCCUUACGAAGGGGGCUGCCUGACUUCCGAUCCUCUCUGUCCGUCAGCACAGGCGGCCUUGGAAUCGCACCCUAAGCCUCUGAAAGAAACAGAUGCGACAGCAACUGGGCAGGGCACUUUCGUUGUGGUCGGUUUUUGUUUGUUUUGAGACAAACUCUAUGUGCGGUGAUCCUCCCGCCUAAUCCUCCGAGUGCUGGGAGGACAGGCAUGCGCCACAGCCUCCAGCAAGGCACUUUUCUUGAUUUUCAGUUUCCAACCUAUAAAAGUAGUGCAGGAGGCUGCACACCGACGACAUAAGAUGGUAACCUGUGCUUUCAAGUCAAACUGACCCCGCUUACAUCCCAGCUCUGGGGGGGCCCGGUUGUGUGAUUUCGGGCAAAUUUCCUCGCCCGUGUGCGCCUCGGUUUCUUCCUCUGUGAAAUGGGGGUCACGGUGACGCUAUCAUCUCUGAGAAUCUGUGAAGAUCGCCCCGGGAUGCCCAGUGCGAUGAGCCCCAGACAGCCGGACAGGAGGACACGAGCAGCUUUGUCGUCGGGGUCGAGGACCGGUAGGCUUGGAGUGCGCGCGACUCCGAGGCGGACAGGGUCCCCGGCCCCCACCCCCCGCCGGCCCCUGGGCUCCGGGCGACUCGGCGUCCACUCCACCUACCUCCCCUCGCGGUCUGCGCGACUCGGGAUCCACAGCGGGCACCCGUGUGUGGGGGUCCCCGCCGGGUGCGGCCGGUCCCGCGGCGUCCGCCAGGGCUCCUAAGCUGAGGACUUGGGCAACCCCCUCUCCCGCGUCGUACCUGACCCACGACGGCGACAGCCGGACACCGGCCGCCCCGGCUUCCAGGCACUGCGCGUAGCGCAUGCGCGCACGGGGGCCUCUGGGAACGCGCCGGCUGACGAAGCCCGCGCGCCCCCGCCCGGCCACAACGAAAAAGUGCG
rnacentral:lncRNA from 1 species